UUAUUUUUCACUUGAAAGAUUUGCAUUCCCCUCGAAACCUGGAAACAACUUAGGUUUCCCCAAAAGGAGUGCCACGAAAGACAGAUGGCUUCAUCCUGAGGAAUAUUGAUCAGUGGCUGCACCACUCUGUCUUUCCCGGGGCUGGCCCUUGCAACCAGAUCUGUUCUCACUGCCUCAGUCUCCAAGGCCAGCUGCCUCGAGGAAUAAUAUCCAUUUCCCUGUGGACCUUAUAAGUCAUACUCGGGGAAGAGAUAUCCACAUCCUUGCACCCAAGGCAAUCUGUGGAAAGCAUCUGAUGGGAGGAGGCUGAGUCCUCUUCAGUUUGACGCUGUGGAUAUUGAACUACUCCGCUGAAGAACUGGCAACCCAGAGCCCUCCCAGUUCUCCUGCUGAAGUGCUCUUUCUAC